rnacentral:tmRNA from 1 species
GGGGGUGAACAGGGCUCGACUGGAAGAACGUCUCGCAGGUUGCAGGUGGAGAGCCAUUCUCCUAAAACAUGGCACCUUUUUUUAACUGCCAACAACAACCUGGCACUGGCUGCCUAAAGUAGCAGCCACGGGGUUUCGGGAGCGCAGCUCUGAGCGACCGCCACCCUGUUGCAAAUCAGGGCUCACCUGACGGCAGGCCCGCGGGCCGUCGGGAACACUACAGCGGGAUUGGAUGGGACGCGGCCGCCGGCGGCCUCACGUCCACAUCGACAAUGAAGCGCCGGACAAACCUGUAGAAGCCUGCGCGGUGCCUUUCAGGACGCGGGUUCGAUUCCCGCCACCUCCAA